UACGAAGGGGGCUAGCGUUGCUCGGAAUCACUCGGCGUAAAGCGCACGUAGGCGGAUUGCUAAGUCAGGGGUGAAAUCCUGGAGCUCAACUCCAGAACUGCCUUUGAUACUGGCGACCUUGAGUCCGGGAGAGGUGAGUGGAACUGCGAGUGUAGAGGUGAAAUUCGUAGAUAUUCGCAAGAACACCAGUGGCGAAGGCGGCUCACUGGCCCGAUACUGACGCUGAGGCACGAAAGCGUGGGGAGCAAACAGG
rnacentral:rRNA from 1 species